ACUGGAGUUGGAAAUGGAAUCAGUAAACAAUGCUACAUGGGCAACAUUCUCCAGAUGUUUCUUUCACGUCACUCAACAUCUUCUUUUUCUUUCAAAUGUGGCUCUGGAACUGUCAGAACCUGUGAUCUACAGUUUGGUGGCGGGUGUUUGGGCCGAUUGAACGAUCUGGCGCUUUGCUGUCUCUGAGGAGGCUCCAGGAGGCGGGCGGCCUCAGGAGCCAAGAAGCUCAGAGGAGGGGCACGAGCCCGUGAUUGAUUCCAUUUCUCACUAAUUUCUCCAAUUAAAGCAUUGAGGCAGACUGAAAACAUCGAGGGGCUCACUGACCUGCCGUCAACAAGGAGUAAAGGAUCUGUUUGGGGAGACGCAAGUUAGCAAUACAUAAAAUUACUUCAGCACCGUGGGAAAGACUUGGGCACCUUCGCUAUAUACAGCAUAUGUGCUUAAGACUUCUGCCCAGUACUGUAUAUGGAGAAAGAACUCUUAUUCUAGAGUUGCAGUCAUUCCAAGGAGCUGUGAACAUCGCAAGUCACCACUCACCACCCACCAGCUUCCAGCUUUCCAGCUGCAUCACCAUCUGGUACAGGAAAUGCAAGGCAUCCGACUACAAGAUUCUAAAAGGAAUUGCAAGGACUGCAGAGAGGAUCAUCGGCGUCUCUCUUCCGCCCAUCUGAGAUACUUACCAGGAAUGCAGCCUGCAUGGGCCCUUAGCGAUCCCUCCCAUCUGUCUCACAAUCUCUUUGGACCUCUGCCAUCAGCAGGAGGUACCUCAGCAUUAGGGCAAGGACUGUUAGAACGGGAAGUAGCUUCUUCCCCAGGCCGUAAAACGACAGAAUUCACUGGAGUAUUAUCACAUAUGAAACACUAGUAAAGUUAUACUGUUUACUUCUUAACUUGUGUCAUAACGUUAAAAAAUGUCAAACAUCUGGAUUAUAUUUUAUUAUUAGUUCACAUUUGUGGUAAUAUUACUUUAUGAGUUGUGUAUGAGUUAUAUGCACUGUGUUGUGCAUCUUGGUCCAGAGGAACAUUGUGUCAAUUGGCAGUAUACAUGUCUAUGGUUGAGUAACAAUAAACUUGAACUUGAAUUUUAACUCAAACUUCUGCGUGCUUUUUCUCCUCGCCCCCACCAUUAACAUCAGCUAAGCUAGUGACUGCCAUUUCCCCCCAAAAAUUACACCCUCUUCGCCUCCUCCUUCUUACAUAGUAACAUAUAGAAACUUCUUCUUCAAGUUCCCGUGAUUAUUUCAAUGGCACCCUAAUCAUAACAGAAAUCAACUUGCCUUCAAGCUAGCUUUUGACGGGGGCAGUUAAUUGAGGUUCAAGUUCAAGUUCAGUUUAAGUUUAUUGUCAUCUGACGGAACAUAUAUACUAUCAAACAAAGCAACAUUACUCCAGACCACAGUACAACCACAACACUGUCCACAAAACUAAAUAUUACCCACAAAUAAUUUAAUAAAAUACAUGCAUGUGAAGUGUUUGUCACGGGUAAACAGUAAACAGUACAGUAAAGAAUAAACAGCUCGAGGCAGGGUCUCACAGCCUUCCGCUGUCUGUAGGAGCUCGUACAUUUCCCUCAUGACAGCACGGACUUCUGGGUACUCUGGUUUCUGCCCACAUUCCAAAGGUGUAUGGGUCAUGAUUAUAAGUUAAGGGCUUGGC